CCUACGGGUGGCAGCAGUGAGGAAUAUUGGUCAAUGGUCGGGAGACUGAACCAGCCAAGCCGCGUGAGGGAUGAAGGUACAGAGUAUCGUAAACCUCUUUUGUCAGGGAACAAAGGCGGGGACGCGUCCCCGGAUGAGUGUACCUGGAGAAAAAGCAUCGGCUAACUCCGUGCCAGCAGCCGCGGGAAUACGGAGGAUGCGAGCGUUAUCCGGAUUUAUUGGGGUUAAAGGGUGAGCAGGCGGGCUGUUAAGUCAGCGGUAAAAGCCCGGGGCGCAACCCCGGCCCGCCGUUGAAACUGGCAGCCUCGAGUUGGAGAGAAGUAUGCGGAAUGCGCGGUGUAGCGGUGAAAUGCAUAGAUAUCGCGCAGAACGCCGAUUGCGAAGGCAGCAUGCCGGCUCCACACUGACGCUGAGGCACGAAAGCGUGGGUAUCGAACAGGAUUAGAUACCCGAGUAGUC
rnacentral:rRNA from 1 species